UACGGAGGGUGCAAGCGUUAUCCGGAUUUACUGGGUUUAAAGGGUGCGCAGGCGGAUAUGUAAGUCAGUGGUGAAAUCUCUGGGCUUAACCCGGAAAUUGCCAUUGAUACUAUAUAUCGUUGAAUGCUGUGGAGGUAAGCGGAAUAUGUCAUGUAGCGGUGAAAUGCUUAGAGAUGACAUAGAACACCUAUUGCGAAGGCAGCUUACUACGCAGAGAUUGACGCUCAUGCACGAAAGCGUGGGGAGCAAA
rnacentral:rRNA from 1 species